rnacentral:rRNA from 1 species
GCGGGGGCUUCACCGCCUACCAAUUCCUGACAAACUCCGAAUGCUAUAAAAUGUUGUUGAGCAGUGAGGGCAUGGGUGCUAAGGUCCAUGUCCGAGAGGGAAAGAACCCAGAUCAUCAGCUAAGGUCCCCAAGUGUAUGCUAAGUUGACAAAACGCGGUAAAACUGCAUUGACAGCCAGGAUGUUGGCUUGGAAGCAGCCAUUCAUUUAAAGAGUGCGUAACAGCUCACUGGUCGAGCGGUUUUGCAUGGAUAAUAAUCGGGCAUAAGUAUACCACCGAAGCUAUGACUUUGUCUUACGACAAGGGGUAGGGGAGCAUUCUAUGGGCAUUGAAGGUGCUGGCGUGAGCCGUGCUGGAGCGCAUAGAAACGAAAAUGUAGGCAUAAGUAACGAUAAUGCGGGCGAGAAACCCGCACGCCGAAAGACCAAGGUUUCCCCAGCUAUGCUAAUCAGCUGGGGGUCAGUCGGGACCUAACGCGAACCCGAACGGGGUAGUGGAUGGACAAUCAGUUAAUAUUCUGAUACCUGCUCACAUUAAAAGUGACGGGGAUGAGGCGUUGGUGCGAAGAGACGGAAUUCUUCGUUGAAGGUAGCGGAAGCUACUGAUAGUACACUGAGGCUUCGGCCAAGGUGAUAAUCCAGCUUAUCAUCCUCCAAGAAAAACAAGUGAAGCAGCCCGUACCGUAAACCGACACAGGUGGUUGGGAUGAGUAUUCUAAGGCGCUCGAGAGAUUCAUGGCUAAGGAACUAGGCAAAAUAGACCCGUAACUUCGGGAGAAGGGUCGCCCCCUUAUGGGGGGCCGCAGUGAAGAGGUCCAGGCGACUGUUUAUCAAAAACACAGGGCUCUGCUAAAUCGAAAGAUGACGUAUAGGGCCUGACACCUGCCCGGUGCUGGAAGGUUAAGAGGAGAUGUUAUUUUUCGGAAGAAGCAUUGAAUUGAAGCCCCAGUAAACGGCGGCCGUAACUAUAACGGUCCUAAGGUAGCGAAAUUCCUUGUCGGGUAAGUUCCGACCUGCACGAAUGGUGCAACGAUCUGGACACUGUCUCGGCCAUGAGCUCGGUGAAAUUGUAGUAACGGUGAAGAUGCCGUUUACCCGCAGUGGGACGAAAAGACCCCGUGCACCUUUACUAUAGCUUCGUAUUGACCCUGGAUAAGUAAUGUGUAGGAUAGCUAGGAGACUUUGAAGCGGCGUCGCCAGGCGUUGUGGAGUCAUUGUUGAAAUACUAGCCUUUGCUUAUUUGGGGCCUAACUCUCGAGAGAGAGAACAGUGCGUGGUGGGUAGUUUGACUGGGGUGGUCGCCUCCAAAAGAGUAACGGAGGCUUCUAA